GGUAGCACAGAGAGCUUGCUCUCGGGUGACGAGUGGCGGACGGGUGAGUAAUGUCUGGGAAACUGCCUGAUGGAGGGGGAUAACUACUGGAAACGGUAGCUAAUACCGCAUAACGUCGCAAGACCAAAGAGGGGGACCUUCGGGCCUCUUGCCAUCAGAUGUGCCCAGAUGGGAUUAGCUAGUAGGUGGGGUAACGGCUCACCUAGGCGACGAUCCCUAGCUGGUCUGAGAGGAUGACCAGCCACACUGGAACUGAGACACGGUCCAGACUCCUACGGGAGGCAGCAGUGGGGAAUAUUGCACAAUGGGCGCAAGCCUGAUGCAGCCAUGCCGCGUGUAUGAAGAAGGCCUUCGGGUUGUAAAGUACUUUCAGCGGGGAGGAAGGUGUUGUGGUUAAUAACCACAGCAAUUGACGUUACCCGCAGAAGAAGCACCGGCUAACUCCGUGCCAGCAGCCGCGGUAAUACGGAGGGUGCAAGCGUUAAUCGGAAUUACUGGGCGUAAAGCGCACGCAGGCGGUCUGUCAAGUCGGAUGUGAAAUCCCCGGGCUCAACCUGGGAACUGCAUUCGAAACUGGCAGGCUAGAGUCUUGUAGAGGGGGGUAGAAUUCCAGGUGUAGCGGUGAAAUGCGUAGAGAUCUGGAGGAAUACCGGUGGCGAAGGCGGCCCCCUGGACAAAGACUGACGCUCAGGUGCGAAAGCGUGGGGAGCAAACAGGAUUAGAUACCCUGGUAGUACACGCCGUAAACGAUGUCGAUUUGGAGGUUGUGCCCUUGAGGCGUGGCUUCCGGAGCUAACGCGUUAAAUCGACCGCCUGGGGAGUACGGCCGCAAGGUUAAAACUCAAAUGAAUUGACGGGGGCCCGCACAAGCGGUGGAGCAUGUGGUUUAAUUCGAUGCAACGCGAAGAACCUUACCUGGUCUUGACAUCCACAGAACUUUCCAGAGAUGGAUUGGUGCCUUCGGGAACUGUGAGACAGGUGCUGCAUGGCUGUCGUCAGCUCGUGUUGUGAAAUGUUGGGUUAAGUCCCGCAACGAGCGCAACCCUUAUCCUUUGUUGCCAGCGGUUAGGCCGGGAACUCAAAGGAGACUGCCAGUGAUAAACUGGAGGAAGGUGGGGAUGACGUCAAGUCAUCAUGGCCCUUACGACCAGGGCUACACACGUGCUACAAUGGCGCAUACAAAGAGAAGCGACCUCGCGAGAGCAAGCGGACCUCAUAAAGUGCGUCGUAGUCCGGAUUGGAGUCUGCAACUCGACUCCAUGAAGUCGGAAUCGCUAGUAAUCGUAGAUCAGAAUGCUACGGUGAAUACGUUCCCGGGCCUUGUACACACCGCCCGUCACACCAUGGGAGUGGUGUUGUCAAAAGAAGUAGUGUAGCUU
rnacentral:rRNA from 1 species